AUUGAACGCUGGCGGCAUGCCUUACACAUGCAAGUCGAACGGCAGCACGGGAGCUUGCUCCUGGUGGCGAGUGGCGAACGGGCGAGUAAUGCAUCGGAACGUACCCAGGAGCGGGGGAUAACUAUCCGAAAGGACGGCUAAUACCGCAUAUUCUGUGAGCAGGAAAGCGGGUGACCGAAAUGCCUCGCGUUAUUGGAGCGGCCGAUGGCUGAUUAGCUAGUCAGUAGGGUAAAGGCCUACCAAGGCGACGAUCAGUAGCUGGUCUGAGAGGACGACCAGCGACACUGGGACUGAGACACGGCCCAGACUCCUACGGGAGGCAGCAGUGGGGAAUUUUGGACAAUGGGCGAAAGCCUGAUCCAGCAAUGCCGCGUGCAGGAAGAAGGCCUUCGGGUUGUAAACUGCUUUUGUACGGAGCGAAAAGGUCUCCUCUAAUACAGGGGGCUCAUGACGGUACCGUAAGAAUAAGCACCGGCUAACUACGUGCCAGCCGCCGCGGUAACAC
rnacentral:rRNA from 1 species